AGGACGAACGCUGGCGGCGUGCCUAAUACAUGCAAGUCGAACGGUCUUUCUAUGGAAGCUUGCUUCCACUGAGAAGAUAGUGGCGAACGGGUGAGUAACACGUGGGUAACCUGCCCAUAAGAGGGGGAUAACAUCCGGAAACGGGUGCUAAUACCGCAUAGUUUUCUUGAUCGCAUGAUUGAGAAAGGAAAGACGGCCUUUGUGCUGUCGCUUAUGGAUGGACCCGCGGCGUAUUAGUUAGUUGGUGAGGUAACGGCUCACCAAGACGAUGAUACGUAGCCGACCUGAGAGGGUGAUCGGCCACAUUGGGACUGAGACACGGCCCAAACUCCUACGGGAGGCAGCAGUAGGGAAUCUUCCGCAAUGGACGAAAGUCUGACGGAGCAACGCCGCGUGAGUGAAGAAAGGUUUUCGGAUCGUAAAACUCUGUUGUCAGAGAAGAACAAGUUGGAGAGUAACUGCUCCAGCCUUGACGGUAUCUGACCAGAAAGCCACGGCUAACUACGUGCCAGCAGCGGC
rnacentral:rRNA from 1 species